GAUGAACGCUGGCGGCGUGCCUAAUACAUGCAAGUCGAGCGAACAGACGAGGAGCUUGCUCCUCUGACGUUAGCGGCGGAAGGGUGAGUAACACGUGGAUAACCUACCUAUAAGACUGGGAUAACUUCGGGAAACCGGAGCUAAUACCGGAUAAUAUAUUGAACCGCAUGGUUCAAUAGUGAAAGACGGUUUUGCUGUCACUUAUAGAUGGAUCCGCGCCGCAUUAGCUAGUUGGUCAGGUAACGGCUUACCAAGGCAACGAUGCGUAGCCGACCUGAGAGGGUGAUCGGCCACACUGGAACUGAGACACGGUCCAGACUCCUACGGGAGGCAGCAGUAGGGAAUCUUCCGCAAUGGGCGAAAGCCUGACGGAGCAACGCCGCGUGAGUGAUGAAGGUCUUCGGAUCGUAAAACUCUGUUAUUAGGGAAGAACAAAUGUGUAAGUAACUAUGCACGUCUUGACGGUACCUAAUCAGAAAGCCACGGCUAACUACGUG
rnacentral:rRNA from 1 species